rnacentral:rRNA from 1 species
AUGAACGCUGGCGGCGUGCCUAAUACAUGCAAGUAGCACGCUGAAGGAAGGAGCUUGCUCUUUCCGGAUGAGUUGCGAACGGGUGAGUAACGCGUAGGUAACCUGCCUGGUAGCGGGGGAUAACUAUUGGAAACGAUAGCUAAUACCGCAUAACAGUAGAUGUUGCAUGAUAUCUACUUAAAAGGUGCAAUUGCACCACUACCAGAUGGACCUGCGUUGUAUUAGCUAGUUGGUGAGGUAACGGCUCACCAAGGCGACGAUACAUAGCCGACCUGAGAGGGUGAUCGGCCACACUGGGACUGGGACACGGCCCAGACUCCUACGGGAGGCAGCAGUAGGGAAUCUUCGGCAAUGGACGGAAGUCUGACCGAGCAACGCCGCGUGAGUGAAGAAGGUUUUCGGAUCGUAAAGCUCUGUUGUAAGAGAAGAACGAGUGUGAGAGUGGAAAGUUCACACUGUGACGGUAUCUUACCAGAAAGGGACGGCUAACUACGUG